UUAAAAUAAACCUCAAUCGAAAACCUCCAAAUCCCUCCUAAACUAUUUUGCGAUUUCAUUCUCUCCCUACCGAAACUCCCGAAAUCGAAUUUCUGAUUCUUGUCGACUUCCAACGAUGAUUUCCGUGGCUUCAUCUUCGUCCGGCGGCGACUUCCAUGGCCUCAUCUUCGUCCGGCGGCUUCAUUUGAAAACAGGUACCUAAUUCAGAACAGUAGCAUACAUUAGUUUCUCAACCUUUGGCACAUACUAAAUUUUAAAAUAAUUUUUAGUAGAGAUUUCAAAUGUUAGACACCUUUGGCUUCGAUUCCAGUAUUCUUUUACUCUUGGGCUCAAUUUAUUUUGUGUUUUUCCAUCCAGUAGACGACAUUGGAUACUUUCCAAAUUUCACAGACACACUUGCUUCACGUUUCUUUUCAGUAUUAUCAACAACACAUUGCUUGCCUACAUCCAUAAAUUUUCUUUUCUUUCUUGGCUUAGGAAUACCAAAGACCACCCUUGAUCCUUCUUUCUGCAGACCAAUUCGUUUAAUUACUCUCUCAGAAUCCAUAGCAGACUUCCCAAAAUUAAAUACCUUGUCCUUCGAAGAUAAAGGCAAAGGUGCAAAUUCAUGAGUUUUCCUAUUCACCCCUAAAACAUCUGGUUCACGACUUACCAUUGCUUCAGACUUGCUUAUUUUUCGCCUCUUCUGCAAGGUGUAUCACCCUGUACAAUCAUAUUGAAGUCAGAAGUUAAUAUAUUAUAUAAAUAAUGGGAUAUAUGAAAGCAAAAAAAAAAAAUGCUUGUUUUUCUCACAUACUAAAUAACUGUUUUCCCACUAAUUGUAAGCUCCCAUUGUUCCAAUGCCCCCAUUCCUCCAUUUUGAUUUUAUUUUAAAGGUUUGAAUGUGAUUUGAAUGGUUUACUGAUAUUGUAUGGUUUAUUAAAUUUCUUCCAUUCAUUGUUUUCAUUGCGAUUCAAUAUUUUUUUGGUUUUAUUGUUUUCAUAUGGUUCUGUUUUAUUAUUCUGUUUUUGCAUUCAUUUGAAUGGUUCUGUUUUAUUAAAAUGUUCUGUUUGGUGAAUUUAUUUUGCUUUUAGUUUAGGAUUAUAUUUAGUUUUUUUACUUCCUCUCUUAAAUUAAAAAAACUCACUGAACAGAACAUUACUUCCUAUCUCAAAUUAUUAAUAAUUAAGAUUAAUAAUUCAUCCUAUCUUUAGUUUUUUUACUUACUCUCUGAACUUUUUAUAUUUUUUAUGAUUCAAUGAUCCGCCUUAAGCUUAUAUUUAUCUUUUUUUAGUUUUCAUUUUUUUUUACUGUUUGUAACGAGCUACAUUUUAUUGAAACAAGAAAAUUAAAAAUAAUUAGCAAACAAUGUGAUUUAACAUGUUUUUUGUGAGUAUUUAUCUAAUUUUUCUGUAAACAGGAUUUGAUUUCAAUUAUCAUUAAAAGGAAAAUGGUCAUGGAAAGAUUUUAAAAAAUUGAAACAAUUAAUUCGAUUAUUUGCUAAUAAAUUCAAACUGUAAUUUCACAUAGUUUAUUCCAAACUCACAAGUGUUGGUGCUAAAGAAGCUUAUACAAGGGAAACUUGAUCUUCAUUUCACCAAAAAUUCGAAUUACGUAAUUUCUGAUUUCUUAUUUCAAUUAUCGUUUUAGUUUAUUAAUCUAAUUUUUUUAAAUGCAUUACUUAAUUAUUGUUUAGUUAAUAUUUUGAAUAUAUAAUUUAAAUAAAUUGUUUGACAUAGCAUAAUGGGAAGGAGAGAAAAACAAAUACCGCGUAGACCUCCAUUUCCGGUACGUGUUCCGGAAGUACGCCAACAAGUUUCUGCUGUACCUGCAAUAGUACUUGUACCUGUUGUACCUCCAUUUCAGCCAGAUCCAGUGUAUGUUCCGCAGGCGGUAGGUCCAUCGAGCUCACCAAUCGUAAUGAGAGUGAAACAACCAUCUAGGAGGCCCCGAUGAUGGAUCAUCCACUAAGGUUCUUUGGUCCAUAUCUACGACUUCGAAUAAUUGUUUAAUUUGUAUGUUGGAUUUGUUGGAUCGUGAUCCGAGGCUAUAAGGGAGGAUAAUAGUCUUUUUUCGAUUUAGGCAGGUUAAAUGCGAAAUUACCUGCAAAUACUUAAUACACAAAUGGUUGAAUAACAAUAAACAAGAUUAUAAUAUUAUAUCGUACAAUAUAAUAUUAUAUAUAUAUUUAUAAUCUUUUCCUUUUCUCUUCAAAGUUUACUACAGUAUAUGAAUACUGAGUCAACUUAUUAGAUAGUGUUUUAUAAACAACUGUAGUAUAUAGAUACUAAGUUAUAUUAUAAGUGCACGUUGUAAUAUAGAGUAAAGGACCAGUUAACUCGAUAUAAAGUGAUUAAUGAAUAACUGACCAGAUAACUAAAUAUAUAUGAUAAGUAAACAAAUGACCAGGUAACUGGAUAGAGAUUUGAACAAUUAAUAUAAACCUCAGAUACUUCACCAGAUAACUAGAUGAGGGAUCUGCAGAAAAUAGUCAACCUCUAUACUUGACCAGAUAACUGGAAGAGAGAUCUUUUUAAUUAAGUGUUGUUUUAGAUAAUAAAUAAAACUAAAGUUAACAAAGAACAACACAGAAGAUUUAUAUUGGUUCACCCAAACAAGAGCUAAUCCAGUUUCGAUAAACUAUCGGAAUUCACUGGCCUAAAGGUAAUGGCAAAACCUUAAAGUAUCAAGAAAAUUUUUAAAAACUUCUCUAAGCUUUAACGCUAACUUCGUUUAGGAAUCAGUCUUUUACGGGUAGACUUACACCUUAUAGUAUCAAAAAACUCUUAAAAUUCUCUAACUUUUACGGGUAAGUUAGUACCUUAGAGUAGAAAAUGAAUUAAAACGAAAAAAAAGCUGCGAUUUAUGGAGUCUUGUAAGCUUAAGUAGUAGUGUUUUAGCAAGCCUCAGGUACAUCAUCAACAUCACCGGAAUCAGCACCAUAGUCCUCGACGACGUCACUAGAUUCGAUAGCUUCUCCAGUGUACCAUGCAACGGCUUGUGGGAUGAUGUUCUCCUUAAUGAUAUACCCAAUUUCAAAAUCAUGCUCAAUGGAGUUCUGCAAGUCAGAAACCUGAAAUUAUUGAUAAGAGAAUUGAAGAAACCAAUUAUGAAAUUAUUGAUCUGUAGAUCUCAAUCUUACUGCAGAAUCAUCAUCCUCCUCAUCUUCAACCUCAUCUUCAACCUCAUCUUCCUCCUCUUCCUCCUCAUCCAUAGGACUGAAAAACUUGAAGAAGCUAUGAUAGUGAGAAAAUUCGAUAUCUUCUUUUUCAGCAUCAACUUCAGCUUCUUCUUCUUCUUUACCAUAAUCCGAUCCCUCCUUGAUCUCGAGGAGGUUCUUCCCAGGAUACCAAUCGAUCACGGUUCUUCAUGGGUCAAGUAAUUAGAUUAGAUUAAAAAAUAUUACAGAACUUAAACACCUAAAUAUAUAUAUAUACAUACAUACCCAGUAGCUUUCUCCAGUACAUCUUCAUCCUCAUCUUCCGACACGUAAUAUGUUUUGGUCAAGAUGGAGUUUGAGAAGAAAGGGUUGACAUCAAAAUAAAACUCCAGUUUGAAUCCCCUUUUGUCAUCACCCAGAUUUUGCCAUUUGAUGUCUUUGAGAUACUUCAGUGCUUCCUUAUCGUUGUCAUUGAUCUGCAUAUAUCAAUAAAUGUGCAUGAGAUCUGAUGGUAUCGAUGUCCAUACAAACGGGUUGGUAGCUAAAUUUAGCCACAGAUUUGAUCAAAAGGUCACUGAUUUUAGCCGUGGGCCUGGGUUAGAGUUAGGAUUAAUGUUAAGAUAUGUCUUUAUAAUUAAUACCUCCCAGGAGAUGAUUUCGUUGGAAGUGAGUGCAGUGAGCCAGAAAUCAGGAAUUCCGACAUCCGCCGAUGAUUCGGUUUUUGUUAUACCGUCGACUUCGACAAACCCAUUGACGAUUUCAGAUCUCUUUUUGUAUAAUGGUUGAUACAUCUUGUUGUAUUUCUCUUUCAGAAGUUGUAAAUCAUUUUGAAAAUCAAUUUUGAGAUCAUCGUGACGAUUCUGAAUUUCCUUUAGAACAUCAACCCUCUUCUGUACAUUCUCCGUCAUUAAAUCCACUAUAAUCAUUUUCCUCUCAUUCGUGUGGAUAAUUCUUUGCUGCAAAUUAAAAAAAAAAAACAAUUCAAUCCAUUCAACAGAAAACAUAUGAUUAAACGUGUGAUCUUACCCUCAUAAGUUCUUUGAAAAUUUCUCUGUUGGUGUUCACAUCGGAACUGCCGAAUUCUGCAAGAAACAAAAAUCAACAAAACAGUGUCAUUAAUCGAUUGAUUCAUCGGUAAACGAUCGAUGGAUCGGAAUAUUCUACGUACUUAGAAAUUCACGAUCGAUAUUGUCAUUGAAUUUUAUGAUCCUCUUUGGGUCGAUCAAUUGCGGACUUCGAUUGCUCAUCGUCGAUAAACCCUAGGAAUGAAAUGGAAGAAUUGUAGAGCUAGCUAGAUUGAUCGAUGUUUUGUUUUGUAAAAAUAUGCGAUCGUAUUUAUACUGUGAAUUUCGGAUUUGGAAAUUAUGUUUUCUGUUACAAUUUACUAUAAUCUAUUUGAGAAUCUUUAUUUUCUUUCAUUCGUUAUAAUCUUAUUCGGGUAAAUUGUAUUUUCCAUUUUUCAUCCACAUUCUAUUUCUAUCCACAUAAUAGGUGAACCGCUACAAGAAAACGACUUUUAAGGAUGGUCAGAAUCUGUCUCUAAUGACCAAAAACCGUCGUUAAUUGCCAAUUGAGUUGAUCGGUCCCUCCAACCAUCGGAAUAGCGUGCUCUCCGGAUAGUCAUGUCAACAACGCGAUUUCCAGAUCGCAAAAUGGAUCACCUCUGACUGUUGGCUUAAGUUAGCUUUAAAUCCCUGACUGCUUCUUUUGCGACUAGCUAUUCCCGCCUGGCGCCAGCUUCAUUUUUGACGGGUGUCAUCGAUCGACGACUAUUCCGCUCCAUAGAAUCGCCAUAUAUAGUGGAGCUCCUCCGCAGAACAUAUUGAUUUCAACGACCAUCCCCCUGAUUUUAAAAUCGCUUAAAAUCACUGUCCGGCCACAGUCCAUAUUGAAAUUCCCAGACCAUUAAUUUGUAUGUUCUUCCAGAUCAAUCAAUCUUGUAUAUGCACAUUCAAAUCUUUUAUUUCAAAAUAAUUAAUAUAUAAAAUGUGAUUUUUUUAAAUAUGAAA
rnacentral:lncRNA from 1 species